GGAGAAGCGCGGGAGCGGUGAGGGCGCUGGUUCCUGUGAGGAGGGCGGAGGGGCGGGGGCUAGGGUGGCGCGGGCGGAAGAGCGUGCGGAGAAGAGCAGAAAAUCGGCCUGUGCUACCGCCGCCCGAGUUCUGUGUGCUUCUAUAGCCUCCAAGUUCGGUGGAUCGGAGCCAAACUGUACUCCAGGGCAGGAGAGCCUUCGUCUCUCCUCCGACCACCCCGUAGGAAGCUCUCGCUGAAACGUGGAAGGCUUAGCAGCCACCGAUACUUCAUGCCCCUGUCCAGAGGGCUUUCCCAAAGGCCCUGCGGCCUCGGGACUGCGCCGUCAGUUAGGAAAUUUAAGAAGGUAUACUGAACUGACAAGCCUGUGACUAGGGGGCGGCCCCACAUCUUCAGAAUGUGAAGCUGAGAAGGCAGACAGCUCCAGCCUGCUGUCCCUGGGGUAUACGGAAGCCCUGCACAGCGCGGCCAGAGGUAAUCCAGGAGACUCCCUUUUACCAGAAGGCUAAAUUGCCCCAGGAGAAUUCGCACUUCACCAACGUGAAAUGAAAAGGAAAAAAAAGUUGAAGGACCCUGUAUAAGUCGGUUGUGGGCUUGAGACACUCAGGAAGCAGGAGCUGUGUCAGAUCUUUGCGUGCUUUGUGUCCAAUUACACUCUGCCCAAGUCUAUUGCCCCUGAAGCAAAAAGAAGGGCUCUGAAAAGACCCAAGUAAUAGUGUUUGUGACCCAGUGUCAUUACAAACGGUCUAAGUAUCUACUAGCAGAUGCACUUGAAAUGUGUGCAUUUCCUAGUAAGUAAUGUGGAAGUUGUCACUGGGAUUUCAGUACGUCAUUAAGCUUGUGGGUUGGGGGCUGGGAGCCUGAAUCAGACUAGAGUCUAGAUACAAAUACUCGAUUUUUUUCGAAGGUUAUGAGAGCCAACUGAGCAGUGCUAGGCACACCCAUCUUAUCAGGCUCAAGUGACUUAGGUGCCCCACUCCCUACCCCUCCAGCAUUUGAGGAGAAUGAAGGAUUGCACUCACUUGUGUGAAGAUCUUCCAAAUAAUGUUUCAGGAGUCAACUUCAUUAACUGAAAUCUUUCUGAAAAGACUGCUUCUACCAGUUGUUUUGGGGAUUGAGUUUUUAUUUUCCUCCUAACUUGGCACCUUCUAUAUCCUCAGGAAAUUUCCAUAAAAUAAGCUUCCCCAGGGUUUCCAAAACAGUUCUGUGAGAUAACCGUGGAAUUCACCCUAGAUGUGUAGAUAAACCCAGAAGGGAGUGUAGCGCUCUUAGAGGGGACUCCAGACUGACGAGCACGUGAUGUGGGGAAUCUCAUCUCUGAACCUGUUUCAUUGGCUGCAAAAUGAAAAUUCCUAUGGUCAGAGGGUUUUUUUGAAGGAACUAAAGGUGUAUAAAUAUACAUGCAGUCAGUACAGAGCUUAAUUUUGUUUAGCAAUUUAUAGACAAGGCAGUGUGUAAAUAAGAAAUCAUAGUUCUGAAGAAAUUACAGUGAGUUUUUGCCUAUGCAGGAGUUAACUAAACUUAAUAGCAUCUAGCCAUUAGAUCCAAUUUUGAGUGUUUUUGGCAUGCUGUUAGGUCAAACGUGUAGGUUUAGAAGAGAUUUUCGAGGAGUUCCCAUUGUGGCUCAGAGGUAACAAACCCAACUAGUAUCCAUGAGGGUGUGGGUUCAAUCCCUGACCCUGAUCAGUGGGUUAAGGAUCUGUCAUUGCAGUGAACUGUGAUAUAAGUUGCAGACAUGGCUCAAAUCUGGUAUUGCUGUGGCUGUGGUGUAGCCAGCAGGUGCAGCUCCAUUUGACCCCCAGCCUGGGAUCCUCCAUAUGCUGCAGAUGCAGCCCUAAAAAGACCAAAACACACACACAGAUUUUGAUGGAAUUCCCAUUGUGGCUCAGUGAUUAACAAUUCCGACUAGGAACCAUGAGGUUGCGGGUUCAAUCCCUGGCCUUGCUCAUGGGCCAAGGAUCCGGCAUUGCUGCGAGCUAUGGUGUAGGUCACAGACAUGGCUGGGUCUGGUGUUCCUGUGGCUGUGGCAUAGACCGGCCACUACAGCUCUGAUUACAUCCCUUAGCCUGGGAACUUCCAUAUGCCAGUGGGUGUGGCCCUAAAAAGAAAAAAAAAAAGUUAGCAAAGAAAUACCUUUUGGUCCACUGCCUUACUGAUAUGUCUAGACUACUGUCAAGUAAGGCUCUGAAGUGGCCUGUGAGUUUCUGUGCAAGAGAAGGUGACCACUCAGGAGCAGUUGGCUUCUGCAUUCCUUUAAAAGCUAACCUUAGAGAAAAAGAAUCCUGAACAGGUCAUCAGGAUAAAUACAACUCAUGCUACCUCUAGGAGUAAGUGAGGAAAUGAACUUGUAAUGGAAAAUUUCCAGAGGCUACACCAUAGUACUCACGCUAUUCCACACCAUUUGCAUAUUCAUUCUGACUGGCACCAUGAAAAACUUUGUUGUGUGUGAUGUUAGAAGAAUCAUAUUGCCUUUUGGAAAAGGAUCUUUGUAAAAACCUAAAGUUUCAGAACACCAUAUGGAGCACAUUUUUCCAAUUAUGUUAAUCUUUGGGAUGUUAAUGUGUCCACCCUUAUGCAGAGGAAAGAGGUUAACUUAUGUUGGUAUGAACUGAUAAUAUACUACUUGCUACAUGAAGUUCUGAAGUUCUGGCCUCAGCUUAUAGUUGAUUCCAGUAACUACCCCAACGCACCCCUUUAGAUAAAAAAAGUGUAAAGGUUACAUUGCAUUCAUUCAAUCUACCCCUACUGUAUGCCAAGUAAAAGGCUGCAGUCUUGAAUAAGACAUGAUCUCAUUAAUAUAGUACAGCCUUUGCUCUCAGUAAAAAGGACCGUCUUCCAGAUGCUCAAGAAAAUAUGUAUGAACUCAUGUGGCAGUUGUAUUACUACACAUACUCUGAAGGAAAAGGCCAUCACUAUUGCUUGUAAAAAGCAAGGAGAAUUUUUUUUUGACAGUCCAUACUCUACAAUUCCAUAAAGAGGACUGGCUAGCCUGAUUUUUUGGGAGGAAAGUUUUGUCAAAUUGUUACUUGUAGGAAACACAAACAGAUGCAUUUUUGCAACUUGGUCUCCCAAAUUUUAACAUCCAGAAAAGCCAACAUAGUAGAUGGCUAUUCCUAUCUAUUCCUUUUUCAUUUGUUCAUCAUGUACAGAAGAAUACUGUCUUUACUGGUUUCUUUAUCAUGCACACUCAAUAUAUUAAGUUCACCCUUUCCUGAAACUCCCCAUAAAAGUUUAAUGGCUAUAUAAGUCUCUGUAUUAACAUAAUAUGUUAACAAAUCCCUCUUUUAGAUUUUAUUGUUAUAAAUAUUGCAGUGAAUAUUUAUAUAUGUUUGCUUAUAAAAUCACAUCUGUCCUGGAGAUAACAUUUCUCACAGUGGAAUUAUGAUACCACUAGGGUGUAAGAACAUUUUAUUACUUCUCUUUCCCAUACCCCAACUCCAAAGUAGGAAAUAGUAAUGUUGCUGCAUUCUAGCCUCGAGUAUAGUAUUCCUUAGUAGCUGAGAGAUGGUAUCUUUCCUAAGAAGUAACUCUUAAACCAUGGACACUCCUUUUUCAGAGAAAGUAGAGCCAUCCAGACAAUGAAUUCUGCAGGGGUAAUCAGAAACACUUUUUGCUCAUUUACUGCCUCCAAUAAUUCUUGCCUCACCUUAAAAUUCUUUAAGCCCUAUACUUCCCCUCUCCCCUCAAGUGGUGGCCUUGACCCACACACACCCCACCUGUAAUUUAGCCUAGUUCCUUUUCUCUACUUCCUAAACCUAAACAAACUACCACUCUGUCCUAAAAGAUGAACUUCACCAGAGUGGGGUGCCCGCACAUGAAGCUGCUAGCAGAAAAUUCAUGAAUGGAAGAGGUCAGAAUGAGGUUGGGGGAGCAAAGACUUAUUCUAAAAAUAUAACUCACUUCUUCCAAAAAGGAUUUGUUGGGUCUUGGAAUAAUAAAGCAAGAUAAAAAUUUAAAGCAAGAUUUAAAAUGAAGAUUCACCACUUAAAAGUGGUAAGUAAUUAUACCAGGAAGAUGUAAAUAGACCUUGCAAGCAACCACUAUUUAGACACUGAAUAUAAAGAAUCUGGAGUUCCCUUGUGGUAUAGCAGUCUAAGGACCCGGCGUGGUCACUUGCAGCAGCUCAGGUCACUGCUGUGAUAUGUAUUUGAGAUUCUCAGCUCAAGAACUUUGCCAAUGUAAACCCCUCUUAAUUCCUCCCAAAGUUCAUUUAAUCUCUUAGACACAAUACUGCAUGGCUGAUUUUCUUAGGUUCCUACUGAUACCCUAACAAGUUAGCACAAAUUGAAUGACUUAAAAGACAAAUUUAUUCUCUUCCAGUUCUACAAAGCAGAAGUCCUGAGACUUAUGGGGAUAAAAUCUUUUGUUGGUAGAGCUGGUUCCUUCUGGAGGUCCCAAAGCAGAAUUCCUUGUCUCUUCAGCUUCUUGGGACAUUCCUUAGCCUGGGGUCACAUUGCCUUCUCUUUUGUAAUCUUAUCUCCUUCUGCCUCAUCUUUAAGGACAAUCAUGAUUGCAUUUAGGGCUUACCCAGAUAAUCCAGGAUAAAUUCCCCAUCUCAAAAUCCUUAAUUUAUCAUCUCUGCAGAGUCCCUUUUGCCGUAGAAGGUAACAUUUACAGGUUCUAGAGAUAGAACUUUUUAUCUUUGCAGUCAUCAUUCAACCUACCACACUGAUCUUAUGCACAAAAUGCCAAUACUUCCAUGAAAAUUCAAAGUGACAAGCAGAAUUUACAAAUACCCAAGAAAUCAGAAAAUUUGGAAUAAAACUUCCAACUUUGUGAAGAAUUUGAUUACUUAAUGCAGCACUAUGGUCCUUUCCAACUCUAUGCAUGUAGCCUGGUUACUUCUUUUUUGUUUUGUAAUUUUUUCUUUUCUAGGGCUUCUCCUGAGGCAUAUAGAGGUUCCCAGGCUAGGGGUCUAAUCAGAGCUGUUGCCGCCGACCUACACCAGAGCCACAGCAACGCCGGAUCCCCAACCCACCAAGCAAGGCCACGGAUCGAACCCGCAAGCUCAACCUCAUGGUCCCUAGUCAGAUUCGUUAACCACUGAGCCACAACGGGAACUCCCCAGCCCAGUUACUUCUUAUAUAGCAUUUAAGUUUAUCUUCCCAAAGUGUCUCAUCUAUCUCUAUUAUGCUUUUUUGAACAUAGCUUUAUUGAUAUACAGUUCACAUACCAUACAAUCCACCUAUUUAAAAGUAUACAAUUAAAGGGAAUGUAAAUUGGUGCAACCACUGUGGAAAACAGUGUGGAGAUUCCUCAGAAAACUAAAGAUAGAUCUACCAUUUGAUCCAGCAAUCCCACUCCUGGGCAUCUAUGCAGAGAGAACCAUGACUGGAAAAGACACACAUACUCCAGUGUUCAUUGCAGCACUCUUUUCAAUAGCCAAGACAUGGGAACAACCUAAAUGUCCAUCGACAGAGGAAUGAAUAAAGGAGAUGUGGUACAUAUAUAUUACUCAGCCAAUAAAAGGAAAUAAAUAACCAUAUUUGCAGCAACAUGGAUGGACCUAGAAAUUAUCAAGCGAAGUGAAGUCAGUCAGACAAUGAGACACCAACAUCAAAUGCUAUCACUUACAUGUGAAAUCUAAAAAAAGGACACAAUGGACUUCUUUGAAGAACAGACUCAAAGACUUUGGAGGACUUAUGGUUUCCAAAUGAGACAGGUUGGGGGGUGGGGGGAUGCACUGAGGUUUUGGAAUGGAAAUACCGUAAAAUUUGUUUGUGAUGAUUGUUGUACACCUAUAAAUGUAGUAAAAUUCAUUACAUAAAAAA
rnacentral:lncRNA from 1 species